ACCUCGGAUCAGGUAGGAAUACCCGCUGAACUUAAGCAUAUCAAUAAGCGGAGGAAAAGAAACCAACAGGGAUUGCCCUAGUAACGGCGAGUGAAGCGGCAACAGCUCAAAUUUGAAAUCUGGCCUUCGGGUCCGAAUUGUAAUUUGUAGAGGAUGCUUUUGGUGAGGUACCUUCCGAGUUCCCUGGAACGGGACGCCAUAGAGGGUGAGAGCCCCGUCUGGUUGGAUACCGAUCCUCUGUAAAGCUCCUUCGACGAGUCGAGUAGUUUGGGAAUGCUGCUCUAAAUGGGAGGUAUAUGUCUUCUAAAGCUAAAUAUUGGCCAGAGACCGAUAGCGCACAAGUAGAGUGAUCGAAAGAUGAAAAGCACUUUGAAAAGAGAGUUAAAAAGUACGUGAAAUUGUUGAAAGGGAAGCGCUCAUGACCAGACUUGGGCUUGGUUGAUCAUCCAGGGUUCUCCCUGGUGCACUCUUCCAGCCCAGGCCAGCAUCAGUUCGCUGUGGGGGAUAAAGGCUUUGGGAAUGUGGCUCCUCCGGGAGUGUUAUAGCCCAUUGUGUAAUACCCUGUGGUGGA
rnacentral:rRNA from 1 species